GUGCUCACUUCGGCAGCACAAACACUAAAAUUGAAACAACACAGAGAAGAUUAGUAUGUCUCCUGCACAAGGAUGACAUGCAAAUUCGUGAAGCGUUCUAUAUAUUA